AAGUUCAUUGGAAUCUCGAACGGGAGCAAACUGAGCCCCUUUAGCUAGCUGCCUUUGAAGGCGGGCAACCUCAUCGGUCGCCAUCCUGAGCUUCCCCCUGUAUUCAUCCACCUGCCUGCACCAGCCGGCCCGAUAUGCAUCGUAGCUUGCCUCGACAUCCUGGAGCUGUUGCUGAAGGUCGGAGACCUUCUUCGACCAUUCCCGAUCGCUGUCGACCUG
rnacentral:lncRNA from 1 species